CCAGAACCUAAUUUUGGGAGGGGCACUGGUAGAUUAUUUAAAGAAACAAUCCAGGCACAAUAACCACUACAGCACUUUGUAGUGGUUACGGUACCAGUAGUGCCCUCCCAGAGUAAGCAGUCAAACUGUUUAAGAACAGUUUGACAACUUACCUGGAAUCUGCCAGGAUAGGGGCUGUAGAAGGGGAUAGGGGCAGUAGUGU